UUGACAGAAGCUCCACAGAGACGGAAACAUCUGCUGCAGCUGUUUGUCACUGCCUCUGCUCUGCCUCUCAGUCAUGUUGUCCUUGGCCGCCCACUCGCUCUGUGUCAGGGCCACCGGUUACCAACAAAGCCUGCGCUCCAUAGCAACUGUCAUCUCCGGGAACAAAACGUCCAAAAUAGUGAGGGAGAGACUGAAGAAGGAGGUGGAGAAGAUGGCGAAUCAGUUCUCCGGGUUCAGACCGGGCCUGGUGGUCCUGCAGGUGGGAGACAGAGAUGACUCUAACCUGUACAUCAGCACCAAACUGAAGGCUGCAGCUGAGGUUGGAAUUGAAGCCAAACAUAUCCGGCUGCCAAACACAACCACGCAGGACGAGGUGCUGCAAAGCAUCAUGUCCGUGAACGAGAACGCGUGCGUACACGGUCUGAUCGUGCAGCUGCCAUUGGACUCCGCAAACUGCAUUGACACUGAGCUCGUCACCAACGCCGUGUCCUCGCAAAAAGACGUAGAUGGGCUGAGCUGCAUUAAUGCAGGUAAAUUGUCUCGAGGAGAUCUGAACGACUGCUUCAUCCCCUGCACCCCCAACGGCUGCAUGGAGCUCAUCAGACAGACUGGCGUGUUUGUGGCGGGGAAGCACGCGGUGGUUAUUGGUCGCAGUAAAAUCGUUGGCGCUCCGAUGCACGACCUGCUGCUGUGGAACCACGCCACUGUGACCACCUGCCACUCAAAGACACCUGACCUACCUGAGCAGGUGGGCCGGGCUGAUAUCCUAGUGGUGGGGGCCGGCAGAGCAGAGAUGGUGAGAGGAGAGUGGGUGAAGGAGGGUGCCGUGGUCAUUGACUGUGGAAUUAACCAUGUCCCCGAUGACACAAGGCCCAGUGGUAAACGAGUGGUUGGAGACGUUCACUACUCCUCCGCCAGUCAGAGAGCAGGAUACAUCACACCUGUUCCAGGAGGGGUGGGGCCAAUGACGGUGGCCAUGCUCAUGGAGAAUACGGUGCAGAGUGCUCAGCGCUUCCUCCUGAAGAUGAGGAGGUGAAACAUCAACACUGACGGGUAAAACUCGGCUCAAACUUUCAAAUUCCAACCAGGGUUUCCUCUAAAUUCAUCAGAACUAAUUUAUUGUCAUGAUCAGUUUUUGUCACUGAAGGACACUCUGCAACCAAAGAAACUGCACAGGUAUAAAUGAUUAAAUGUGUUUUUGUUUGGGCUCUGAUAACUGUGACACUUUGUUUAUAUCCCUGUAGGCAGACAGCUGUGGACAGGUGAACAGCUCAUACACAGAGAUGACAUCGUCAGAAUGAAAGAAGAAACACUUCUUGUUUCAGAGGCUGAACUCGUCCGUAUUUUUUCUUUUGUCUUAAUUUUUUUCUGUAAUUUGUUUCCUGAUCUGAGAGAUUUCUGACGUCUGUCAAAGUUUGACUGUGACUCCAGCAGAACCUCAGAGUUCAGACGCACUGAGCUCGAUGAGGCUGUGGAUGCUGCGCUUUCCUGCAGUAUUAAACCAGGUGUGUUUUGUGCCAGAAAUGGAGUGUCCACUGAAGACUGAAGAUACUGAAUCUCUACGCCUUGCCAUUGAUCCCUCCCUCUCACCUAGACAAGAGGCAUUAACUUAACCACUCUCAUAUGCUCUGUACCUACAUCACCUUCCCUGACAGUCGUAGCUUGGCUCAUCUGAGGGUGAAAUUAUGCUGACAAGCUGACACAGUAACAUGGAAGAGGGAAAGAAGUUGGAAAGGACUACUACAAAUAAACCUAAUGCCUAACAAUGAAAAAUGUAAAAUAAGAACAAUAAUAAUAAUAAAGAUAAAAGAUGAAGUAACAAGUUUUUAGUUUUUUGGUUUAUUCCAAAUGAUCAUCCAGAUGUCUGUGACAUGUGAUGACAAACACCAUAAUCGAAGGCCUUAGUCAUCACAUGCUUAAACUCAUCAUAUAUUUUUGCAUAUGCUGAACAUGCAGUCAGACAUGCUGUAACUGUGGGGUAGAAAACAGCAUGAACACCAUACGGCAGGGGUCUCAAACUCCAGUCCU